GACGUAGGGCGCGAGCGUUGUCCGGAUUUAUUGGGCGUAAAGAGCUCGUAGGCGGCUUGUCGCGUCGUUCGUGAAAACCCGGGGCUCAACUCCGGGCUUGCGUUCGAUACGGGCAGGCUAGAGUUCGGUAGGGGAGACUGGAAUUCCUGGUGUAGCGGUGAAAUGCGCAGAUAUCAGGAGGAACACCGGUGGCGAAGGCGGUUCUCUGGGCAGUACCUGACGCUGAGGAGCGAAAGUGUGGGGAGCGAACGGG
rnacentral:rRNA from 1 species